rnacentral:rRNA from 1 species
CCUACGGGUGGCAGCAGUGGGGAAUAUUGGGCAAUGGAGGCAACUCUGACCCAGCAACGCCGCGUGAAUGAUGAAGGUCUUCGGAUUGUAAAGUUCUGUGAUGGGGGAUGAACACAAUGACGGUACCCCAAUAGCAAGCCACAGCUAACUACGUGCCAGCAGCCGCGGUAAUACGUAGGUGGCAAGCGUUAUCCGGAAUGACUGGGCGUAAAGGGUGCGUAGGUGGUUUAGUAAGUUGGCGGUGUAAUUCCGGGGCUCAACCUCGGCGCUACCGCCAAAACUAUUAGACUAGAGUGCAGGAGGGGUAAGUGGAAUUCCUAGUGUAGCGGUGAAAUGCUUAGAGAUCAUACAGAACACCGAUUGCGAAGGCAGCUUACCAAGCUACUUCUGACGUUGAGGCACGAAAGCGUGGGGAGCAAACAGGAUUAGAUACCCGGGUAGUC